AUUGAACGCUGGCGGCAGGCCUAACACAUGCAAGUCGCACGAGUGGCGGACGGGUGAGUAAUGUAUGGGAAACUGCCUGAUGGAGGGGGAUAACUACUGGAAACGGUAGCUAAUACCGCAUACUAUCAGAUGUGCCCAGAUGGGAUUAGCUGGUGGGUGGGGUACAGGCUCACCUAGGCGACGAUCGCUAGCUGGUCUGAGAGGAUGAUCAGCCACACUGGAACUGAGACACGGUCCAGACUCCUACGGGAGGCAGCAGUGGGGAAGAUUGCACAAUGGGCGCAAGCCUGAUGCAGCCAUGCCGCGUGUAUGAAGAAGGCCUUCGGGUUGUAAAGUACUUUCAGCGGGGAGGCGUUACCCGCAGAAGAAGCACCGGCUAACUCCGUGCCAGCAGCCGCGGUAAUAC
rnacentral:rRNA from 1 species